AUUGAACGCUGGCGGCAGGCCUAACACAUGCAAGUCGAGCGGAGCGGCGGACGGGAGCGUAAUGCCUAGGAAUCUGCCUGGUAGUGGGGGAUAACGUCCGGCAACGGUCGCUAAUACCGCAUACUAUCAGAUGAGCCUAGGGCGGAUUAGCUAGUUGGUGGGGUAAAGUCCUACCAAGGAGACGAUCCGUAACUGGUAUGAGAGGAUGACCAGUCACACUGGAACUGAGACACGGUCCAGACGCCUACGGGAGGCAGGAGUGGGGAAUAUUGGACAAUGGGCGAAAGCCUGAUCCAGCCAUGCCGCGUGUGUGAAGAAGGUCUUCGGAUUGUAAAGCACUGUAAGUUGGGAGGCGUUACCAACAGAAUAAGCACCGGCUAACUUCGUGCCAGCAGCCGCGGUAAUAC
rnacentral:rRNA from 1 species